rnacentral:rRNA from 1 species
AGCGAACGCUGGCGGCAGGCCUAACACAUGCAAGUCGAACGAACUCUUCGGAGUUAGUGGCGGACGGGUGAGUAACACGUGGGAACGUGCCUUUUGGUUCGGAAUAACUCAGGGAAACUUGUGCUAAUACCGAAUGUGCCCUUCGGGGGAAAGAUUUAUCGCCAUUAGAGCGGCCCGCGUCUGAUUAGCUAGUUGGUGAGGUAACGGCUCACCAAGGCGACGAUCAGUAGCUGGUCUGAGAGGAUGACCAGCCACACUGGGACUGAGACACGGCCCAGACUCCUACGGGAGGCAGCAGUGGGGAAUCGUGCGCAAUGGGCGAAAGCCUGACGCAGCCAUGCCGCGUGAAUGAUGAAGGUCUGAGGAUUGUAAAAUUCUUUCACCGGGGACGAUAAUGACGGGACCCGGAGAAGAAGCCCCGGCUAACUUCG